rnacentral:rRNA from 1 species
CGCUGGCGGCAGGCCUAACGCAUGCAAGUCGAGCGCGCCCUUCGGGGUGAGCGGCGGACGGGUGAGUAACGCGUGGGAACGUGCCCUUUUCUACGGAAUAGUCUCGGGAAACUGGGGGUAAUACCGUAUACGCCCUUCGGGGGAAAGAUUUAUCGGAGAAGGAUCGGCCCGCGUUGGAUUAGGUAGUUGGUGGGGUAAUGGCCUACCAAGCCGACGAUCCAUAGCUGGUUUGAGGGGAUGAUCAGCCACACUGGGACUGAGACACGGCCCAGACUCCUACGGGAGGCAGCAGUGGGGAAUAUUGGACAAUGGGCGCAAGCCUGAUCCAGCAAUGCCGCGUGGAUGAAGAAGGUCUUCGGAUUGUAAAGUCCUUUCGACGGGGACGAUGAUGACGGUACCCGUAGAAGAAGCCCCGGCUAACUUCGUG